AUUGAACGCUGGCGGCAUGCUUUACACAUGCAAGUCGAACGGUAACAGGCCGCAAGGUGCUGACGAGUGGCGAACGGGUGAGUAAUGCAUCGGAACGUGCCCAGUCGUGGGGGAUAACGCAGCGAAAGCUGCGCUAAUACCGCAUACGAUCUCUGGAUGAAAGCGGGGGACCGAAAGGCCUCGCGCGAUUGGAGCGGCCGAUGUCAGAUUAGGUAGUUGGUGGGGUAAAGGCCCACCAAGCCAACGAUCUGUAGCUGGGCUGAGAGGACGACCAGCCAGACGGUGACUGAGACACGGCCCAGACUCCUACUGGAGGCAGCAGGGGGGAAUUUUGGACAAUGGGCGCAAGCCUGAUCCAGCAAUGCCGCGUGCAGGAAGAAGGCCUUCGGGUUGUAAACUGCUUGUGUACGGAACGAAACGGUUCGGGUUAAUACCCUGGGCUAAUGACGGUACCGUAAGAAUAAGCACCGGCUAACUACGUGCCAGCCGCCGCUGUAACAC
rnacentral:rRNA from 1 species